AUGUAUUCAGAUUUUUUAUCAAUUGGGGGGAAAAUGAAAUCAGAUAAAACGACAUCGUUGUAUAGCACUAAGAUUACAAUGUAUGACCCUCAGACUUCAACUGAGACAGAGGAAUAUAUUCCUUCUCUUCCCAGGCGAGAUUGCCGCUGCAAAUUCACAUCUAUUCUCCUUGAACUCAUCGUCAUUGCGUAUACAUUCAAGCCACCACAAGACACCAUGAGAGACCUCACCCCAGCCUCAUCUCACCGUCUGUUCAUCUCUCUUCUCAACACAGCAGUGGCUUCAACUUAA